AAGUCGUAACAAGGUUUCCGUAGGUGAACCUGCGGAAGGAUCAUUAUCACGUAUCCACGUAUAAACCAUUGUGAACUGUUUUUUUAACCUUUGUUGGUGGGUGGAGAUUUUUUUUGUAACAAAAAAAAGUUUUCUGUCACAGCCAACAAAGUGUAAUUUAACCUUUAUUAACCAUUCUAACCCAAUCUUUAUAACUUUUAUGAACUAAUUUUUAUUUUAUACUCUUCGGAGAUAAAAUUCAUUACGAAACAAAGAACAACUCUUAGCAACGGAUAUCUUGGUUCUC
rnacentral:misc_RNA from 1 species